rnacentral:rRNA from 1 species
UAAGUGGUAGGAGAGCGUUCUAUUUGCGUCGAAGGUAUACCGGUAAGGAGUGCUGGAGCGAAUAGAAGUGAGCAUGCAGGCAUGAGUAGCGAUAAUUAAUGUGAGAAUCAUUAACGCCGUAAACCCAAGGUUUCCUACGCGAUGCUCGUCAUCGUAGGGUUAGUCGGGUCCUAAGUCGAGUCCGAAAGGGGUAGACGAUGGCAAAUUGGUUAAUAUUCCAAUACCAACAUUAGUGUGCGAUGGAAGGACGCUUAGGGCUAAGGGGGCUAGCGGAUGGAAGUGCUAGUCUAAGGUCGUAGGAGGUUAUACAGGCAAAUCCGUAUAACAAUACUCCGAGAACUGAAAGGCUUUUUGAAGUCUUCGGAUGGAUAGAAGAACCCCUGAUGCCGUCGAGCCAAGAAAAGUUUCUAAGUUUAGCUAAUGUUGCCCGUACCGUAAACCGACACAGGUGGGUGGGAUGAGUAUUCUAAGGCGCGUGGAAGAACUCUCUUUAAGGAACUCUGCAAAAUAGCACCGUAUCUUCGGUAUAAGGUGUGGUUAGCUUUGUAUUAGGAUUUACUCCGAAAGCAAGGAAACUUACAACAAAGAGUCCCUCCCGACUGUUUACCAAAAACACAGCACUCUGCUAACUCGUAAGAGGAUGUAUAGGGUGUGACGCCUGCCCGGUGCUCGAAGGUUAAUUGAUGGGGUUAGCAUUAGCGAAGCUCUUGAUCGAAGCCCGAGUAAACGGCGGCCGUAACUAUAACGGUCCUAAGGUAGCGAAAUUCCUUGUCGGUUAAAUACCGACCUGCAUGAAUGGCGUAACGAGAUGGGAGCUGUCUCAAAGAGGGAUCCAGUGAAAUUGUAGUGGAGGUGAAAAUUCCUCCUACCCGCGGCAAGACGGAAAGACCCCGUGGACCUUUACUACAGCUUGACACUGCUACUUGGAUAAGAAUGUGCAGGAUAGGUGGGAGGCUUUGAGUAUAUGACGCCAGUUGUAUAUGAGCCAUUGUUGAGAUACCACUCUUUCUUAUUUGGGUAGCUAACCAGCUUGAGUUAUCCUCAAGUGGGACAAUGUCUGGUGGGUAGUUUGACUGGGGCGGUCGCCUCCCAAAUAAUAACGGAGGCUUACAAAGGUUGGCUCAGAACGGUUGGAAAUCGUUCGUAGAGUAUAAAGGUAUAAGCCAGCUUAACUGCAAGACAUACAAGUCAAGCAGAGACGAAAGUCGGUCUUAGUGAUCCGGUGGUUCUGUGUGGAAGGGCCAUCGCUCAAAGGAUAAAAGGUACCCCGGGGAUAACAGGCUGAUCUCCCCCAAGAGCUCACAUCGACGGGGAGGUUUGGCACCUCGAUGUCGGCUCAUCGCAUCCUGGGGCUGGAGCAGGUCCCAAGGGUAUGGCUGUUCGCCAUUUAAAGCGGUACGCGAGCUGGGUUCAGAACGUCGUGAGACAGUUCGGUCCCUAUCUGCCGUGGGCGUAAGAAGAUUGAAGAGAUUUGACCCUAGUACGAGAGGACCGGGUUGAACAAACCACUGGUGUAGCUGUUGUUCUGCCAAGAGCAUCGCAGCGUAGCUAAGUUUGGAAAGGAUAAACGCUGAAAGCAUCUAAGCGUGAAGCCAACUCUAAGAUGAAUCUUCUCUAAGCUCUCUAGAAGACUACUAGUUUGAUAGGCUGGGUGUGUAAUGGAUGAAAGUCCUUUAGCUGACCAGUACUAAUAGAGCGUUUGGCUUAUCUUU